rnacentral:rRNA from 1 species
AGAGUUUGAUCCUGGCUCAGGAUGAACGCUGGCGGCGUGCUUAACACAUGCAAGUCGAACGGUGAAGUAAGAGCUUGCUCUUGCGGAUCAGUGGCGAACGGGUGAGUAACACGUGAGCAACCUGCCCCGGACUCUGGGAUAAGCGCUGGAAACGGCGUCUAAUACUGGAUACGAGUAGCGACCGCAUGGUCAGCUACUGGAAAGAAUUUCGGUCUGGGAUGGGCUCGCGGCCUAUCAGCUUGUUGGUGAGGUAAUGGCUCACCAAGGCGUCGACGGGUAGCCGGCCUGAGAGGGUGACCGGCCACACUGGGACUGAGACACGGCCCAGACUCCUACGGGAGGCAGCAGUGGGGAAUAUUGCACAAUGGGCGAAAGCCUGAUGCAGCAACGCCGCGUGAGGGAUGACGGCCUUCGGGUUGUAAACCUCUUUUAGUAGGGAAGAAGCGAAAGUGACGGUACCUGCAGAAAAAGCGCCGGCUAACUACGUGCCAGCAGCCGCGGUAAUACGUAGGGCGCAAGCGUUAUCCGGAAUUAUUGGGCGUAAAGAGCUCGUAGGCGGUUUGUCGCGUCUGCUGUGAAAUCUGGGGGCUCAACCCCCAGCCUGCAGUGGGUACGGGCAGACUAGAGUGCGGUAGGGGAGAUUGGAAUUCCUGGUGUAGCGGUGGAAUGCGCAGAUAUCAGGAGGAACACCGAUGGCGAAGGCAGAUCUCUGGGCCGUAACUGACGCUGAGGAGCGAAAGGGUGGGGAGCAAACAGGCUUAGAUACCCUGGUAGUCCACCCCGUAAACGUUGGGAACUAGUUGUGGGGUCCAUUCCACGGAUUCCGUGACGCAGCUAACGCAUUAAGUUCCCCGCCUGGGGAGUACGGCCGCAAGGCUAAAACUCAAAGGAAUUGACGG